rnacentral:lncRNA from 1 species
AUCAACACUUUCUUCCUUCUUCCAUGAAAAAGACAGCAAAGACCAGGAUCAAACUGUUCAGUUGCACCCAGCAGUCCCAGUCUUCAUCACUGACUGUCAUUACCUGGCAGCAGAAAAGAAGGAGGCUCAUUUGGAUAUUGUAGGUGGCUGCCCCUGUGAACCAAAGACCACAGAGUGUCAGAACAUCUCAUUGGAGCGGUGGUCCUCAGCACCUUCUGCUGCCAUUCUCCUUUCUGGGCUGGGUUUCACUGCAACCUGCAGCUCCCAGGAUGUGCGUGGACAGAGAGGCUGUGUGCUAGGCUAGAAGAGAAUUGUGCUUUCAGGACCUUCUGAAUUCCAGCACAAAACCCUAGGCUGCAAAACAACAGAAACAAAGAAAGGUAAGAGGAACCUUAAGGGAUGAAAACUGGAGCCCUCUAGAAGCCCUCUGUAGACCUCUAGUUGCAUAAUCUGAAAGCUAUCUUUGCAGCUCCAUAACAUCUGUCCAGAGCUCUGAAGUUCAGAAACUUAUUUUGACACCUGAAAAGUUCAUUUGCAGAAUUGCUGAGCUGGAUGUGCGGCUGGUUGUCAUCCGUCUCUCCUCAUUGAUUUUGAUUGCGAUGCUGAUUUACAGCUCUGGUGACUUGAGCCUGGGGAGUGCUGUGUGUGCGGCCAUCGAAACCAGGGGCUGCUCAAUGCACGUGGCUCAUGCUGCUUUCAUUUAUCAGUAAAGUGGCCUAAUUGGGUUGGGACUGUUCAGAUGAGUGUGUUUGUUUCCAGGAGCGAACAGGGUUUUGCUUUGUGUUUUUAAUUUAAUUACACCCGCAUUAGCGGUUUGCUGGCCUUAAUGACAUUUAGUAAAUUACAGAGUCUCUGCUGAAAUGCUGGAAGCUGGGUGUAUGUCAGUCCCACCUGAGUAAAACGCAGGGUGGUUUUUUCUUUUUUCAGUUAAAAUGUUCAGAAAACACGUUCAGCCUGUAAUGAGCUGCUACGUGGAUCCAUGGAAAUCACUGCUCACUUGUGU